rnacentral:rRNA from 1 species
AUUGAACGCUGGCGGCAGGCCUAACACAUGCAAGUCGAAUGGUAACAGGAAACAGCUUGCUGUUUCGCUGACGAGUGGCGGACGGGUGAGUAAUGUCUGGGAAACUGCCUGAUGGAGGGGGAUAACUACUGGAAACGGUAGCUAAUACCGCAUAACGUCGCAAGACCAAAGAGGGGGACCUUCGGGCCUCUUGCCAUCAGAUGUGCCCAGAUGGGAUUCGCUAGUAGGUGGGGUAACGGCUCACCUAGGCGACGAUCCCUAGCUGGUCUGAGAGGAUGACCGGCCACACUGGAACUGAGACACGGUCCAGACUCCUACGGGAGGCAGCAGUGGGGAAUAUUGCACAAUGGGCGCAAGCCUGAUGCAGCCAUGCCGCGUGUAUGAAGAAGGCCUUCGGGUUGUAAAGUACUUUCAGCGGGGAGGAAGGGAGUAAAGUUAAUACCUUGGCUCAUUGACGUUACCCGCAGAAGAAGCACCGGCUAACUCCGUG